rnacentral:rRNA from 1 species
GACGAACGCUGGCGGCGUGCUUAACACAUGCAAGUCGAACGGUGAUGCUCCAGCUUGCUGGAGUGGAUCAGUGGCGAACGGGUGAGUAACACGUGAGCAACCUGCCCCAGACUCUGGAAUAAGCGCUGGAAACGGCGUCUAAUACUGGAUACGCAACUGGCCCGCAUGGGCAUGGUUUGGAAAGUUUUUCGGUUUGGGAUGGGCUCGCGGCCUAUCAGCUUGUUGGUGAGGUAAUGGCUCACCAAGGCGACGACGGGUAGCCGGCCUGAGAGGGCGACCGGCCACACUGGGACUGAGACACGGCCCAGACUCCUACGGGAGGCAGCAGUGGGGAAUAUUGCACAAUGGGCGAAAGCCUGAUGCAGCGACGCCGCGUGAGGGAUGACGGCCUUCGGGUUGUAAACCUCUUUCAGCAGGGAAGAAGCGAAAGUGACGGUACCUGCAGAAGAAGCACCGGCUAACUACGUG